GACGAACGCUGGCGGCGUGCUUAACACAUGCAAGUCGAACGGAAAGGCCCUGCUUUUGUGGGGUGCUCGAGUGGCGAACGGGUGAGUAACACGUGAGUAACCUGCCCUUGACUUUGGGAUAACUUCAGGAAACUGGGGCUAAUACCGGAUAGGAGCUCCUGCUGCAUGGGGGGGGUUGGACAGUUUCGGCGGUUGGGGAUGGACUCGCGGCUUAUCAGCUUGUGGGUGGGGUAGUGGCCUACCAAGGCUUUGACGGGUAGCCGGCCUGGGAGGGUGGACGGCCACAUUGGGACUGAGGUACGGCGCAGAGUCCUACGGGAGGCAGCAGUGGGGAGUAUUGCACAGUGGGCCGAAGCCUGAUGCAGCGACGCCGCGUGCGGGAUGACGGCCUUCGGGUUGUAAACCGCUUUCGCCUGUGACGAAGCGUGAGUGACGGUAAUGGGUAAAGAAGCACCGGCUAACUACGUG
rnacentral:rRNA from 1 species